GAAGCCUCCAAUUCACAGAGUAUUUUAACAGAUUGCAUGUAUGCGCCAUUACCCAUUGGGAGAAACUUGGCUGCUACAUCCAGAUGGCCUCUAAAGAUGAAGUUGAAGAAAGACACGUUUUCCUACUCUAACCGUGUGACCGGGAAAGCAAUGAUCCACUAUAUGAAAUAUCUGUAAGGUCCAAGCUGUUUUGCAAGAAAUCACCAUUUCCUCACCAUCCAGGCUAAAUGCUCCUCCUGCUGGAAAGGGAAAAGCUCCAAGGUCAGGACCUGCCUAUGAUGGUGAAAGAGCCCCUACCUAGCUCACUGAGGAUAAUACUGCAUCUGCCUCUGCUCCCUCCAGAAGGGAGAUCCUUUUUCCCCCACCUCUGUGACAGAUAAAAUGAUGCCUCUGCUUCCCAACAGGAGGGCCAGGACAGAACUGGAGCCCAAAAUACCUCACAGCCUGGUCAGUCAUUACAGAGGUCACGUGGGUGCAGUUACCCUCCCUGUAACCAGCAGUCCUCAAGGAACACAAAUGCUUUGAAAUGACAGUAACUUAGAAUGAGAGGGGGAAAUAAGACGCCCAUCUCUGUGAAUUUGCAAAGGAGCAAAGUAAGGUGGGAUGUCACAUGGGCCUCAUGCACUUGAGCUUGCUGGUUUCCUGCCGGAGCUUCUGACAGCUCUGAAAAGCUUCAAGAGCUUUUGUAAUAUGCAUAUCUGACCUCGUUACUUCAGUCAGCCUGUCUCUCUUACACCUGUGCAAUGCCCUUGAAAGUCCACUCCUAGCCCCCAAUAUGGCACCCAUUAACAAAACUGGUAACCAGUACCCAAGAGAAGAUCAUGGCCUAGUGCUAGAGCAUUGCCCCUUCAGGGACAGGGACUUGGAUUAUCAACUGCUCUGACAUUUCCUAAUCAAAAGUUUCCGGUUUUAGCUCAUCAUCUCCUUAUGAAUGUUUUCAGAUGCUCUCUGGGGGUCUCAGCACAUUUAAAGGCUAAUUAUAUAGUUAAAGUUAAUUAUUCAUUCAUUAACAUUCAAGAAGCCUUUAACAAGACAUUGACUUGUUCUGGUGAAUUAAUGCAACCAGAGUGAACACGCUUGUGUGUGUGUGUGUGUAUUUUGGAGGUCUAGUCUCAAGUGUUUCUGAAAAUGAAACAUCUCUUUGAUGAUAACAAUGUAUUUUUUUAGGUCAUGUCAAAGCCUUGUUAGGAAGAGCAGCAGACCCACACAUUACACAAAUUUCAUAUUUGGCCAACUAUAGAAUGGUGUACAGGAUUCAGAUCCAUCUUUAACAGCUCUGGGAAGGAGAUCCACUACAGGUCCUCUCUGAGCUUCAGUUUACUUGUCUGUAAGUUGAGGACAUAAUAGCUCUCCUGUAAGGUUGCCUGACACAUAAGUUAAAAUGGAAGUGAAGGUGUUUGGUGAUUGUAGAUUCUGGUGACACUGGAGAUUGUUAGGCAACAAUUAUAUCCUUGUGCAGAGAAGAAAUAGU